GGCAACUUGGCCGAGUGGUUAUGGCGCUACGUUCAGGUUAGACUGAGUCCCGCUGGGCUUUGCGCCGAGCACCUCCCGUAGUUCGAAAGAGCGUGGGUUCGAGUCCCACAGUUGUCA
rfam:Ceraceosorus bombacis genome assembly, contig: Scaffold_261